GGGUUGUGAGGUUAAGCGACUAAGCGUACACGGUGGAUGCCCUGGCAGUCAGAGGCGAUGAAGGACGUGCUAAUCUGCGAUAAGCGUCGGUGAGGUGAUAUGAACCGUUAUAACCGGCGAUUUCCGAAUGGGGAAACCCAGUGUGAUUCGUCACACUAUCAUUAACUGAAUCCAUAGGUUAAUGAGGCGAACCGGGGGAACUGAAACAUCUAAGUACCCCGAGGAAAAGAAAUCAACCGAGAUUCCCCCAGUAGCGGCGAGCGAACGGGGAGGA
rnacentral:rRNA from 1 species